CGGAGUCUUGCUCUGUCACCCAUGCUAGAAUGCAGUGGAGUGAAAUCGGCUCACUGCAACCUCCGCCUUCUGGGUUCAAGCUAUUCUGCCUCAGCCUCCCAAGUAACUGGAUUACAUGUGUCACCAUAGCAGCUGAUUUUUUUGUAUUUUUCGUAAAGAUGAGGUUUCACCAUGUUGGCCAGGCUGAUCUUGAACUCCUAAACUCAAGUGAUCUACCCACCUCAGCCUCCCAAAAUGCUGGGAUUACAGGUGUGAGGCACUGCACCUGGCCCCAGAUUUUUGAUACUCUUAAACCUUCUGAUCCUUAGUUUCUUUCUCCAAAAUACUCUUUCUAGGUUUUAAAAAAAAAAAAAAAAAAGGGCUCUUAUACUCUUAUAUUUGGUGCUAUGUAAGUGAAAAUGUUUUUUAGGUUUUCUUGAUUUAACAAUAGAGACAGGGUCUCCCUAUGUUGCCUAGGCUGAUCUUGAACUCCUGGGCUCAAGAGAUCCUCCUGUGUCAGCCUCCCAAAGUGCUAAGUAGGAUUACAGUCGUGAACCACCACACCCAGCUGUAAAAAUGUACUUAUUUUCCAGCCUCUUUUGUAUAAACCGUAGUAAGGGAUGGGAGUAUUGAUGUUAUCUGUGAAAAUAGCCACCAUUUACCCAUAAGAUAAAACUUGUUAAAGCAUCCUGAGUCUAACUUAGUACAUCAGGCCCUUUUUCACACAAAAAAAUCCUUUUUGGGAUUUAAUGGAAUCUGUUGUUUCCCCCUAAGUUGAAAAACAACUCUAAGACACUUUAAAGCAACUUCUUGGCCUGGGUUACAUAGUUCCCAGACUAGGUUUCAGACUUCUGCUUAAGGCCAGUUUUAGAAACCUGUGAAUUCAGAAAAGUUAAUUCAGAAAUUUGAUAAACAGAAUUGUUAUUUAAAAACUAACUGGAAAGAUUAUAAGUUCUUUCCGAAUUAUUCAGAAAUGAUGCAUCAUUUUCCUUCAAGAAUGACAGGGUCAGAAUGUGGAAUCCAAGAUACCUCUUGACUUCCUCUCAAGCUCUGUGUUUGCUCAGUGGAGGCCCAUCCCAGCUCAGCAUGUGUACUGAGAAGUGUUGGUUUCUUUGGGCCCCAUCUACCCUGACCACAUUAUGAUGUUCAUCUGCAGCAGUUGCAAGGUGUUCAGAGUGUGUAAAUACAAAUGGCAUAAACACUUUAAAAGAAGUGCAAUCCUCAGGUUAGGUGGACUCAAGCAUUCUGUAAAGCAACUAUUAAUAAUGAGCUUACAGUGGAUAAUUCAUUUGAAUUCGGAAAAUACAGAAACGAGCCUGUCAAAUACCAGCAAGAGCUAUGGAAUAAAACUACUGAUGCAAUGAAGACAGUUGAAAAGAUCAAAUGCCAAGCUAAAUGUAUAAUGAACAAAUUGAAGAAAAAUAAAGGACUACAGAAAGUUCAGGACAUCAAAGAAAUUAGACAAAACUCAUCUUGACCCCUCUUGCAGGCAAAAGAAAGCAGCUGGAAGAAAAGAUGAUACAGCAGUUACAACAGGAUGCAGACAUGGCAGAGGUUUCUUAAAAAUCUCAUGGUCUAUAACCAUUUCUAUAUUUACAUUUGUGAAAAUCUGGAGACUUAGAACCUCUAAAUUAUUGACUUUUUAUAUAAGGUCACUCAAAUGAAACGUGAUUAAAAAAUCAUCUACAUUGCUGUCUACAGAAUGUCAGAUAAUAUGGAUGUUUGAUUGCAUCUCAUUGUUAACUCUUUACUGAUAGAUAUGUUUGUAAAUACAGAAGUGAAACGUGGACAUAAAAUAGUUACACUAUUUGGUUAAUGGUACUAGGCAACAUUUAUGUAAUGACAUUCAAAAAUUUGUGGCUAGUGAUACAUAUAAAGUAAAAUUUUCUUUGCAGUAAAAUAUGCCCUUUAUUAUAGAAGGGAGGAUAUAAGGAGCCAACAGUUGGUAUGAAAAUAGCUCAAAUAAUAUCUUUUUUUAUUUCUUAUUUUGGUUUAUUAGCAUCUUAGAAGAAAAUGGCCUUAUAUAAUGAAGCCUAGUUAUGCUGGACUGUUUUGACCUCUUUUAAUUGUUCUGACAGAUAGCUGGGGAUGAGAGCCAAAUAACAUUUGCCUGAAAUGACUGACACUAUGUGCUUUCUGCUUGCACAAAUACUCAGUUCUAACUUGUGAUUCCUGGUAGAACAAUCUUUAUUUUUCGAGCCUAGCACUGAUCUGGAAGCAGAUGUUAUCUCGGUGCCUUUUACAAUUUGUUGUGUGUGUGUGUUUUUUUUAAAAAGGUCACACAAUAAUUUUGGAAUACAUAUAUGGGUAGAACAUCUGUCUGUUAUUUGUGCACAAAACCACUUUUAAUGGGUACAAAGUUAAAUGAGGAAUACAUUCUAGCUGAAGUAUUAUCAACUCCAAAUAACGCUUUGAGGACCUCCAAAGGUAAAAAUACUAAUCCCUUUGGCCAUUUAUUAGAGAGAGAGAGAGAGACACAGUAGGGUGACUGUAGUUAAUGUAUUGAAUGUUCUUGCUACAAAUAAAUGAUAAAGGUUUGAGCUGAUGGGUAUGCUAAUUGCACUGAUUUGAUACACAUUGUAUGUGAAAGUCAUAUGCCAUAAAUAUGUACAAUUAUGUAUCAGUUUAACAUUUUAAAAAACAUUUCUAAUGUAAAAAGUACCUCUCAAACUGUGGAUUAGCUUCUUAAUUUAUAUUCAUAUUUAUAUGAAUCUUAAGUAAAAUAGUGAAAACCAUCUUGAUUUAGUGUUUAACUCUCAUGUGAAUUGUAUAUACUUAGGUGAGGACAAUAAAAUCAACUGUAAGCUUAGAAUAGGACUGGGAUCAUUUUGCACAGCAGCUUUACUAAUGGAACAUUGUUGCUUCAAAAAACUCUCUCUCUCUGUCUCAAUAAAUGGCCAAAGGGAUUAGUACUUUACCUUUGGAGGUCCUCAAAGCAUUAUUUGGAGUUCAUAAUACUGAAGCCUAGAACCAAGUAGAACCUUUCUUUUUCUGAGGAGUAUUGUAGCAUAAAUGUGAUUAUAAACAAAGUACACUUGAUAUAUGUAUGCAAUGCCUGCUAUUUAUACAAAAUUUAAAUCUGCAAAUGGAAUCAACAUGUUUAUGGGUUAUUAAAAUUAUCUCAUUUCUUAGGUUCUUUAUAGUGCACGUGUUGAAAAUAAAUGAUUAAGUGACUAAGAAUUGUUUCAA